GCCCUUUUUCCCAUAAACAUUCAAUUCUCAUUGAUCAUCUUCCCGCACAAUUCAUUUUAAUCUUCAGAUUCCACCAUCUUUCCAAUUUUAAGGGUUAUCAAUUUGACUCAACCACUCCAACGUGUGUCAUCUUACCAUUGCUUUUUUUUCCUUCCAGAUUUCAUUUUAUCUCUUUCUCUAUUGGGAAAAGAAAAAUCAUUGGUGACUCUUCAUUUAUCCCAUUUCUUUCUCUCUCCUAUUUCAUCUUCUUCAUUUCUCCAAUUUCUUUAUCUCUCCUAUUUCAUCUUAUUCUGUCGCUUCUCUCCUCACAUUCAUACUCUCCAAAAACACUCAAAAUAAAUUCAUUAUAUCCUUCUUGAUUUUCCAUAAAUAUCCAGAACACCCAUUCCAUAACAAAAACAUUAUCAUAUUUUUCCCAGUUUCCUUCAUACAUUAAACACAACCUUCAUAAUUUCCUCAGAAAAAUUCACACCUUCAUUAUUAUCUCACCUCUGAACAUACCCAGAAACACCAUUCAGACACAAAUGCUUCUUUUCCCUUACCCAACAAACAAUUUAUUUCACUUACCCAUAAAUUUUCAUGUACACUUUCCCUUAACCUUCAUCUAGACCCCGACCCUCUUACAAAAAAAUCAUCAUAUAUUCAUAUACCUCUUUAUUUUUACCCAAAAUUUACUCAGAGUUUUUUGAAUUUCAGAGUUCUAGGAAGAGAUAUAUGCACUUCAUCAAGGUGACCAAACUGUUACUCAGUUCUUCACCACACUUAAGAAAAUGUGCAAGAACUGAAUAACUUUUGCCCCGGUCCAUGAUGCACAUGCGCCAUUUUGCUUCUCAUUAUUGGAAAACCAAAAAAAUAUAUUUAAUAUUAGCAUGUUAAUAUAUCGGGUCCAUCAGAACAAAUAAAUCCUUUCUUCUCAUCUGCUGUAGUACUUUGCCAUUUUGCUUCUCAUUCGGUUUCGUCAGCUUCUCUCCAGCUGAUAUUCGGCCAUCGUCCGUGUUAAGUUGAGGCAAUUGUUGUUGCACUUAGAAUAUCAAUGAGCCAAUGAAAGCCAAAGGCUUAUGGUGUCCUUGCACAAGUCUUUUCAUGAAAGUGCAAAAGUGCUUUAGAAGCAUUCCACACAGCUAUGUAUUCUAUCUAAAGAUUGUGACCAAUCUGAUAAUGUUAAAUUGGUGAAAGCUCUUUGUGUUGAGCAUAAAGUUACCUUGUUGAUUGUUCCAAAUACAAAGACCUUUUGAGAGUGAGUUGUAUUUUGCAAAAUUAAUACAUAAGGAAAAUCUAGGAAGGUAACUUUAUGGUUUCUCCUUCAUGGUUGUAAAGGAUAUUGGUGAGGAACACAGAGCAUAGAAUGUUGUUUAUUGAAUAAAUGUUGUAUACAAAUUUUGGUUUA